CAAGUCGAGCGGAUUGAAGGGAGCUUGCUCCCUGAUAUUAGCGGCGGACGGGUGAGUAACACGUGGGCAACCUGCCCUGCAGAUGGGGAUAACUCCGGGAAACCGGGGCUAAUACCGAAUAAUCAGUUCUUCCGCAUGGAAGAACUCUGAAAGACGGUUUCGGCUGUCACUGCAGGAUGGGCCCGCGGCGCAUUAGCUAGUUGGUGGGGUAACGGCCUACCAAGGCGACGAUGCGUAGCCGACCUGAGAGGGUGAUCGGCCACACUGGGACUGAGGCACGGCCCAGACUCCUACGGGAGGCAGCAGUAGGGAAUCUUCCACAAUGGACGAAAGUCUGAUGGAGUAACGCCGCGUGAGCGAAGAAGGUUUUCGGAUCGUAAAGCUCUGUUGCGAGGGAAGAACAAGUACGGGAGUAACUGCCCGUACCUUGACGGUACCUCGUCAGAAAGCCACGGCUAACUACGUGCCAGCAGCCGCGGUAAUACGUAGGUGGCAAGCGUUGUCCGGAAUUAUUGGGCGUAAAGCGCGCGCAGGCGGUCCUUUAAGUCUGAUGUGAAAGCCCACGGCUCAACCGUGGAGGGUCAUUGGAAACUGGAGGACUUGAGUACAGAAGAGGAAAGCGGAAUUCCACGUGUAGCGGUGAAAUGCGUAGAGAUGUGGAGGAACACCAGUGGCGAAGGCGGCUUUCUGGUCUGUAACUGACGCUGAGGCGCGAAAGCGUGGGGAGCAAACAGGAUUAGAUACCCUGGUAGUCCACGCCGUAAACGAUGAGUGCUAAGUGUUAGGGGGUUUCCGCCCCUUAUUGCUGCAGCUAACGCAUUAAGCACUCCGCCUGGGGAGUAC
rnacentral:rRNA from 1 species